AGGGGUAAAAUCCGUUGAUAUAGGAAGACUUUCGAUGGCGAAGGCAUUUACCGAUUUGGUUCUGACGCUAGGUACUAAAGCUUGGGUAGAAAGAGGAUUAGAGACCUCGUAGUCCAUGCCUUAAACAAUGAGUGUUCAACGUC
rnacentral:rRNA from 1 species